CCAUACGACCGUACCGCAAACCGACACUGGUGCGCGAGAUGAGUAUUCUAAGGCGCUUGAGAGAACUCAGGAGAAGGAACUCGGCAAAUUGACACCGUAACUUCGGAAGAAGGUGUGCCCUAUUAGUGUGAAGUGAACAACGGAGCAUGAAUGGGUUGCAAAAAAUCGGUGGCUGCGACUGUUUAUUAAAAACACAGCACUCUGCAAACACGAAAGUGGACGUAUAGGGUGUGACGCCUGCCCGGUGCUGGAAGAUUAAAUGAUGGGGUGCAAGCUCUUGAUUGAAGUCCCAGUAAACGGCGGCCGUAACGAUAACGGUCCUAAGGUAGCGAAAUUCCUUGUCGGGUAAGUUCCGACCUGCACGAAUGGCGUAACGAUGGCCACACUGUCUCCUCCUGAGACUCAGCGAAGUUGAAAUGUUUGUGAUGAUGCAAUCUCCCCGCGGAAAGACGGAAAGACCCCAUGAACCUUUACUGUAGCUUUGUAUUGGACUUUGAACAGAUCUGUGUAGGAUAGGUGGGAGGCUUUGAAGCAGGGUCGCUAGAUCUUGUGGAGCCAACGUUGAAAUACCACCCUGGUGUGUUUGAGGUUCUAACCUGGGUCCAUUAUCUGGAUCGGGGACAGUGCAUGGUAGGCAGUUUGACUGGGGCGGUCUCCUCCCAAAGCGUAACGGAGGAGUUCGAAGGUACGCUAGUUACGGUCGGACAUCGUGACGAUAGUGCAAUGGCAUAAGCGUGCUUAACUGCGAGACUGACAAGUCGAGCAGAUGCGAAAGCAGGACAUAGUGAUCCGGUGGUUCUGUAUGGAAGGGCCAUCGCUCAACGGAUAAAAGGUACUCUGGGGAUAACAGGCUGAUACCGCCCAAGAGUUCAUAUCGACGGCGGUGUUUGGCACCUCGAUGUCGGCUCAUCUCAUCCUGGGGCUGUAGCCGGUCCCAAGGGUAUGGCUGUUCGCCAUUUAAAGAGGUACGUGAGCUGGGUUUAAAACGUCGUGAGACAGUUUGGUCCCUAUCUUCCGUGGGCGCUGCAGAUUUGAGGAAGCCUGCUCCUAGUACGAGAGGACCGGAGUGGACACACCUCUGGUGUAUCGGUUGUCACGCCAGUGGCAUUGCCGAGUAGCUAAGUGUGGAAGAGAUAAACGCUGAAAGCAUCUAAGCGUGAAACUCGUUUCAAGAUGAGAUCUGCCGGGGCCUUGAGCCCCCUGAAGAGUCGUUCAAGACCAGGACGUUGAUAGGUCAGGUGUGGAAGCGCAGUAAUGCGUUAAGCUAACUGAUACUAAUUGCUCGUGCGGCUUGACCAA
rnacentral:rRNA from 1 species